GCCGGACUCGGUGGUGCGUGCCUAUAGUCCCAGCUAUUUGGGAGGCUGAGGCUGGAGGAUUUCUUGAGUCCAGAAGUUCUGGACUGUAGUGCACUAUGCCGAUCGGCUGUCCGCACUAAGUUCGGCAUCAAUAUGGUGACCUCCCGGGAGCGGGGGACCACCAGGUUGCCUAAGGAGGGGUGAACCGGCCCAGGUCGGAAAUGGAGCAGGUCAAAACUCCUGUGCUGAUCAGUAGUGGGAUGGCGCCUGUGAAUAGCCACUGCACUCCAGCCUGGGCAACAUAGCGAGACCCCAUCUCU
rnacentral:SRP_RNA from 1 species